GCUGCCCUGUGAGGACGCGCCAGGGCACGCGCGGUGACGGAGGCAGAGGCUAAAGAGCUGUCGCCGCAGGCCCAGGACGGCCACAGGUAAGGGAAGGGAUGCCCUCCCGGGCUCUGGGAGAUGUGCGUGUGCGGGAUGCCACGUGACACAGCUGAACCUGAGGGGCCACUUUUGGCAAAGGCAGUGCGACAGGCCCGUGUCACGGGACCCGUGGUCGCCGUGGUGAUCCGCGUGGCAGCGCCGGGACUGCGGCCCUCAGGUGGUGGAGCCACCCCGCAGAGUCGCGCUCAGGGACAGCCGGGUGACCACGGGCUGUGGAGCUGGGCACUGCGCUCCAGGGCAGGGCUUAUGCCCUGAACCCGUAAGCAGUGCAUCCUCAGCCUCUCCUCCCCAAUCCUGCAUCCCCUCCUGCAACCAGAUACCGCCAAGGGCCGAGAGCCCAGUCUGAGCAGAGGACACUGAGGCCACCGCCACGCCAGGGCAGCUACUCCAUUUUCAAGUGAACCUGAGCACAGCUCCUGGGUUGCAUGAGGGGUGGGCUUGGUGGUGCCAAGCAAGAAAGGACAGGCAUAGCGCCGGGGCUGACUGCGUGGGUGUGGGCUCAGGACCUGGAGGCCGUAGCUCGAGCACUCAGUCCAGCAGCCAGGAGCGGCUCCAGCAAGGGCCAGGCUGUGACCAGGGCUGGCUCAGACACCGCCGUGAUCCCAGGAGGAAUGAGCUGAUGGUGGGCUCCAGGGGUUACCGCCAGAGAGACCCAGGCUGAUGGAAUGACUGCUGCCUAGAACAUUGCAGGUCUUCCCAGAUGAGACACAGAGGCUCUGGAGGGUCGUGCAAUAAUACUGCCUCACCGGAAGCUGAGCCUGGUACACGCAGAGCCCACAGGACACCCACAAGAGUCACAUACCUGCCAUUGACCACCUCUGGGCUUUUAAUACCGAAACUUCAAAGAACUUAUGUGUCUCUCAUUACACUUGCUAGCAAUAUUUAUACAGGAACAUGUUGUAUUUAUAUCCCCAAAAAUCAGUAAGAGAAUUUUAACAAAACCAUGUAUGGGAAAAGUCUUAAGUCACAUUUCAGAAACAAUGUGUAGUGGUUGUAAUAACAUGGGGGCAUUUUGCAAAGUUUGAGAACCAACAAAGAGGCGUGCGCACAGCCAGGGUGGGGCUGGGGCUCCUGCAGAGAGAUUUGCUCCACCCUGCGUUCAGGACGCCACCUGCACGAAAUGUUAAGUUCACCUGCGUGUCGUGUGUGUUACUGGCAUACACGCUUCCCUGGUUUAUAGUAACAUUGUAAUUUUUCUCAUUUUUUAAAAGUAAUCCCAGCACUUUGGGAGGCCGAGGCGGGCGGAUCACGAGGUCAGGAGAUCGAGACCAUCCUGGCUAACACGGUGAAACCCCGUCUCUCCUAAAAAUACAAAAAAUUACCCGGGCGUGGUGGCGGGCGCCUGUAGUCCCAGCUGCUCGGGAGGCUGAGGCAGGAGAAUGGCGUGAACCUGGGAGGCAGAGCUUGCAGUGAGCGGAGAUCGUGAGCUCACUGAGUGAGCGAGACUCCGUCUCAAAAAAAAAAAAAAAAAAAUUUUGUGUUUUUUGAGACAGGGUCUCCAUCUGUUGCCCAGGCUGGAAUACAGUGGUAUGAUCACAACUCACUGCCAUGAGUCUGGGAGCCUCGACCUCCAGAGCUCAAGCAAUCCUCCCGUCUCAGCCUCCCAAAUAGCUGGGACCAUAGCAGUGUGCCACCAUGCCUGGCUAAUUUUUGUAUUUUCUGUAGAGAUGGGGGUCUCACUAUGUUGCCCUGGCUAGUCUCGAACUCCUGGGCUCAAGUGAUACUCCCACCUUGACCUCCCAAAGUGCUUGGAUUAAGGCGUGAGCUACCACACCUGGCCAUUUUUCUCAUUUAAAAUAGAUUAUUGGCCGGGCAUGGUGGCUCAUGCCUGUAAUCCGAGCACUUUGGGAGGCUGAGGCGGGUGGAUCACUUGAGGUCAGGAGUUUGAGACCAGCCUGGCCAAUAUGGUGAAAUCCCAUCUCUACUAAAAUACAAAAAUUAGCCGGAUGUGGUGGUGGUCACUUGUAAUCCCA
rnacentral:lncRNA from 1 species